rnacentral:tRNA from 1 species
GGGCGCGUAGUUCAAUUGGUUAGAGCACUGCCCUGUCACGGCAGAAGUUGCGAGUUCGAGCCUCGUCGCGCCCG